rnacentral:tRNA from 1 species
GCCGAAGUGGUGAAAUUGGUAGACACGCUACCUUGAGGGGGUAGUGGGCGUANGCCCGUGCGAGUUCGAGUCUCGCCUUCGGCACCA